GCCACACAAGUACCCGUGCUGAAGGAAGGAUCAGUAUCAGUACCAGAGGACUGAUACAAGCUGCUAAAACUGAGAGGAAGAGCAGACUAUUGCUUUGGGGGGCAGCAAACUGGCUGAAUUUAUGCUGCAGUCUAGGAAGGCUCCAGUGCAUGACUUCCCUCUCUCUGUGCUGCCGCUUCUAUGAAGAUGCCAAGAAAGAACUGAAAGGUCAAGAAAACUGAGCUAGAAGAAAUGGAUAUGCUGUUUUCAAGCACCUCAACUUGGCACACAUGGAGAACAUUUAAAUUUCUGGUUUACUGCCUUCUUCUGGACCCUCCGGGGCAAGAAACCUAAUUAAUUUAUGUAAUGGACCAUUAACAGCUCCCUGAUUACAAUCAUUACAAUUCACAACUAUGUUUAUGGAUGAUUUUGAUUCACUGACAUAAAUAUUACAACU